GCCCAGUUAGUUCAGUUGUCUUGAACGCCACACCCUACAGUUUUUUAAGACCAUGGAAACGCGGGUUCGUUUCCUGCACUGGGC